rnacentral:ncRNA from 1 species
AACCGCCGUAUGCGUGGCCCGCAUGUACGGUGGUGUGGGAGGUGGGGCCCGUGAGGGUUCUACCUACCCGAU